rnacentral:lncRNA from 1 species
AUGUGCAGUGACUUUGCACGGUCUUGUGGGGUUACCCUCUGGUGUCCUAGCCCAGCCAUUUCUCCCCCAGGCACACUCCCCAGGGAGUCUGGUGUGUGCCCAGAAUCCAGGCCUGGGUGCAAGAGUGAAAACGGUGGUCAGUCCAGACACCCGUCCAGAGAAGGACAGUUUCCCCACAUGGAUCAGACCUUGUCAAACAGGCAGCUCGGGGCUGCCCGAUGGCCCCGGAGAGAAAGCCCAGAGCCCUCUGAUGCCUCACAUGGAGAAUAUCAUCCUAAGCAAAGAUGUGGAAGCCAUGAGGGAAAGGCUGACGCACAGAUCACCAGGGGCAGGGGCCGGCGCGUACGGGGACAGAAGCCCAAAGCAAAGCUGUCGACCUGGAGAAGAUCAUUGCAAGGUAUAGACAGAGAAAGAGGCUGA